rnacentral:rRNA from 1 species
UACAGGAGGAUGCAAGCGUUAUCCGGAAUGAUUGGGCGUAAAGGCGUCUGUAGGUGGCUUUUUAAGUCCGCCGUCAAAUCCCAGGGCCUCAACUCUGGACAGGGCGGUGGAAACUACCAAGCUGGAGUACGGUAGGGGCAGAGGGAAGUUUCCGGUGGGAGCGGUGAAAUGACGUAGAGAUCGGAAAGAACACCAACGGCGAAAAGCACUCUGGCUGGGCCGACACUGA